rnacentral:lncRNA from 1 species
GAGCAAAGGAAGGAUGAUACACAACUUGGACAGAAAGGAAUCCCUAAGAGAUUUUCCAUAUGCAGACAACUAGGGCAUAGAAGACCUAACUGCCCUCAAGCAACUCAACAACAACACCAAGAAGGUACACUACACCAGGAAACUACACCACACCAGGAACCUGUACCAGACCAGGAACCUACACCACACCACGAAGCUACA